rnacentral:rRNA from 1 species
UGCGUAGGCGGGUCUUUAAGUCAGGGGUGAAAUCCUGGAGCUCAACUCCAGAACUGCCUUUGAUACUGAAGAUCUUGAGUUCGGGAGAGGUGAGUGGAACUGCGAGUGUAGAGGUGAAAUUCGUAGAUACUCGCAAGAACACCAGUGGCGAAGGCGGCUCACUGGCCCAAUACUGACGCUGAGGCACGAAAGCGUGAGGAGCAAACA